rnacentral:rRNA from 1 species
UACGUAGGUCCCGAGGGUUGUCCGGAUUUAUUGGGCGUAAAGCGAGCGCAGGUGGUUUAUUAAGUCUGGUGUAAAAGGCAGUGGCUCAACCAUUGUAUGCAUUGGAAACUGGUAGACUUGAGUGCAGGAGAGGAGAGUGGAAUUCCAUGUGUAGCGGUGAAAUGCGUAGAUAUAUGGAGGAACACCGGUGGCGAAAGCGGCUCUCUGGCCUGUAACUGACACUGAGGCUCGAAAGCGUGGGGAGCAAACAGG